UCUGUCUCCCCCCCCAGGUCAGUGAAAUUGAUCUAUCCGUGCAGAAGCGGGUAUAAACAUACAAGACGAGAAGACCCUUUGGAGCUUUAGGUACAAGACUAAACCACGUUUAACAGGUCAAUGAAAACACAAACCCCGUGGAAACUUACCACUUUACCUUCGGUUGGGGCGACCACGGAGUAAAAUAAAACCUCCUAGUGGACUGGGGAAACCCCUAAAACUAAUAGAACCACCUCUAAGUCACAUAAAUUCUGACCAAAAUGAUCCGGACACUUAACCGAUUAACGAACCAAGUUACCCUAGGGAUAACAGCGCAAUCCUCUCCCAGAGCCCAUAUCGACUAGGGGGUUUACUACCUCGAUGUUGGAUCACGACAUCCUAAUGGUGCAGCCGCUAUUAAGGGUUCGUUUGUUCAACGAUAAAAGUCCUACGUGAUCUGAUGUCAGACCGGGGGAGCGCGAGUUU
rnacentral:rRNA from 1 species